GCGUAAAACUAAAUGGAGAAUACGGGAAGCCGUGAACGCGCAAUGGCGACUCGGGGGAGGGUGGAUUUAACCAAUCAGAAAGGGCUAUUCUUCCAGUAGUGGGCGUCAACUGGCUUCAGAGGCUUCCCUCCAAAGCCGCCACAGAUCUGAUGGGCGGAGCCUCAACAGUGAUGGAUGACUUUUUGGACCAAUGAAGAUCUGGUAUUUAAGUCGCCAUUGACAGCCGCCAGCUGUCACGGGGCAGCAGUAGAAUUCAGCACUGUUGCUAUGUCAGUUCAAGGCUGCUCUUCGGGACAAUGAAAAAUAUAAUAUAUAUAUAUAAUAUAAUAUAAUAAAUAUCACAAAAUGCGUGUCGUUAGGACACUCAACUUACUGGCUAUUUAUAAUUUUUAAAAAUUUUAAACUGUCCUAAACUAACUGCACAUUCAUAACUGGACACUACAUUAGGUACUUCCUGCAGUUUGCAAAGGCUUAAACUGUAACGCAUUCCAAAGAGGGGAUUUCUAGAAUGUUGGGUGCAUUAACGUACCUGUAUGAACAGAACUUUAAAUACAACAAUAAGCAUUAUUUUGUUUGUGAGAUUGCAUUUCUUGAUCAGUGUACAUGUCAUGUACAUCUUGUUGGCUAGUUCCUCAAACUGUGGCCCCAGGGUCGUUUAUAUACUGAAAUUCAGCAAGCACUAGGUGUUUAUUCCAAGGAGGCAUCUAUUUUAAACCAAUUCUCUACUGAAUUGUUUUAAAUUGCGGCCAAGUAAGCAUAUAUUUAAUCAACUGCAGAAAGUAAUGUCUUUAUUUGAGGGAGACAUCUCCAUUAUUUGAGAACGAGCUUUUAUUGAAUCACUUAAAUUAGAGGCCCGAUGGGCAUUUACGGAAAAAAACAAGCAUUUAUUGAAGGAGACACUUAUUUCUCUCCUCAGUUGUAUCAAAUAAUCACUCUGGGGGAAUAUAUUUACUCACCUGCAUAGAAUACUAGGAAUUAAUUGGUUAUCGUAUUUGACAGAGUAUUUGACACAGAUGAAAUGUUCCCUGCUUAAAAAAACCCUCGGGAAAGAUAUGAAGUGAUCAUUACCGAUGGCCGUUAUUAUUAGCGGUUAUUGAAACCUUGACUUUUAAAACCCUGGUAAAACAUCAAACCAGUAAUCGGUUCUAUUUAUUUUUAGUAUAGAAGAGUGAUUAAGAUGUGGAAAUGAAUUAUUCAUGUACACACAAAGUUUGCACUGCUUUAUCACAUCUAUGUGGGUGUAUCCAAGUAGCUGUCUUUUACUCAACCAUUCCUCUUUAAGUGUGCCAGUGGCCUUCAUAUAAAAAUUGUUACAGGCUAA